UGUGUGUGUGUGUGUGUGUGUGUGUGUGUGUGUGUGUGUGUGUGUGUGUGUGUGUGUGUGUGUGUGUGUGUGUGUGUGUGCGUGUGUGCGUGUGCGUGCGUGUCUCAACCCGUUUUAGAGGAGCCCUGACGGUAUCACACACCCAAUAAAAGACCACCUGUUUCCAGUGUGCUAAUCUAAUCCGGCCUUGCCACAGUUCCUGCCGUUAUUUCUCCUCAUGUCACGUUCCAUCGGCCCCCUAACAGUCGAUGGCAAAACCCUGGCCUAGUUGUUAACUGAGCACCCCUGACAUGGAUUGUGACAAUUUCACGCCCAUCCAUAAUCCAGUUGACACCGGUAUCGCUGUUUUUUUUUUUUUAAUUGCUCGCAUUUUGAUGAAAAGAUGCCUCUCCUGUGAUCUAGUGACGUGCGUCAUAUACUCAGUUUUCUGUAACGGGACACAUUUAGCAGACGUUCUAAUCCAGAACAAUUUACAGUUAGUGCAUUCAUUUUAAAAUGGCUUCUUGGGACAACCGCAUAUCACAGUCAUCGCCAGUACAUUUUUCCUCAAUAAAGUAGUUAUCAGCAACCAUUCUCACUAACACAUUAAUCACAAGUAAUGACGGCCAUUCUGGGGAGAAAAGGGGUAAAAAAAAAGUUGCUACAGUUUUCAUUAACAUUGUUGUCCUGAAUAGAGCUGCUGGUAUCGACUAGCUCUGUCUUCAGUGGCUAAAGCUGUCUGGUAGUGAUAGGCAUUCCGGCUCUUUUCAGUGUGCCGGCUCGUUCGGCUCAGCUCACCAAAAAGGGCCGGCUCUUUUGGCUCACAAACGGCUCCCUAAAAAAUAUAUGUUUAGUAUUUUUUCAAGUCAAACAGUUUGCGAUAGUUUGACUAUGAUUGGUGUUAAAACAAUUCUAAUUAAAUUAUUAACUGAAAUCAUACUCUACCUUAACCACAAUGUAUUUAAAAAUGCAUUGGUUUGUUAUGAAAAAGAAUGCUAUUAAACAUUUACAUUUAAAGUCUAACUUUAAUGUAAAGAAACAAAGUGCAUAUAAAUCUAACCAUUCAAAACGAAUACAAUCUGAACAGCAUAACAGAAUAUUGCACCAUAUCAAAGAAAAUUAAAUAACAAUGUGCAAAACUGCAGCAUUCCACUUAAAACAUUAAACUGGUCCCUCUUUUCUCUCUCUUCUUUGUUGCCAUGUUAUAACCAGCAGCACACGGCAAUGCUGACCAUAUUUUGCUUUUAUGAGACAUUUGCAUUCAGAAAUGCAAGCUGCCUCACUUUCGAGGGGCUGAUGCGGUUUCUUCUCUCAGUAAUUAUUUAUCCCGUUUUCGAGAAUACCCUCUCAAAGGGAACGGAUGUGGCCACUAUGCAGAGUCUCCCUGUCAUGACUUUAGUAAGCCGUGGAUAGACAGAGGCCUUGUUCUUCCACCAGCUCAGAGGAUCUGCAGAUCUUUGAAGGAGGGGCUCCUCCAAAUAGGAUCGGACCUCCAUUAUGGCAUCUGCUGAGGGAUUCCUUCGUGCUGCAUCCCCAGUUGCUCUCUCGUCAAACAGCAUCCAAACAGCAGACGUUUGUGGCACUACUGCUGGUGCUUCUGCUCCAUCUGAUCCCUCUUCUUCCUGUUGUCCUGGUGCCUGAGCCAGCUGACUGCUGGGGUUAUUCUUUGAAGAGCCUCAUCAAUCACUCUGGCAUCACUGAAGGCUAACUUCUUAAACCUGGGGUCAAGUGCAGCGGUUUCUGAUAGCACGUGAUUAUAUUCCAUUCUGUGGAACUUUCUGUCCAUUGAUGAACAUAGGGUGUCCAUCAACUCUGUCACAUGUCCUGUGGUUACAUUUUGCUUCUCUCUUGCGGCUGGCUGUGAUUCACUACAGACCCUUACACAGGACUAUCAUUGUUGAGGCUGUCACAUAGCUGAAAAGAGAGUACAGUAACUUAUUAGUUCAGGUUCAUGUUUUGUCUACUGAUACUACAUUCUCAUCUACUGCUCAUAUACAUAUAUAAUACUGGAUUAAAUAAUGAUGUAGUAAUAACUGCUUACCGUACCUCUCUCCACUGAUCUCCACAGUGACCUGCUCAAAAGGUUCCAGGACUCUGCACACCUCCUCCACCACCUCCCAUUCCUCUUGGGUCAGAGCAUCAACAGGUGCAUUGACAAUGGCCAGGGUAGAGAUGAUGGCAUCCUUUGACUCAAGAAACCGUUUCAAAAUAUAACAUUUUUAAUUCAACCUUUUAGUGCAGUCUUGUUUAGGCAUCAGCUCAGGCAUCCCCAGCUGGCAUUGUGUAGACCAGUUUUUCAGCACCUACUGUGCUCCUGUGGAAGUAUUCCACAGCUGCUUUCACUAUGUCUACAGUGGGCUUCAUCACCUUCAGAGCAUCUCUUACAAUCAGGUUGAUUGUGUGGGCAAGACAUUGAUGAUGGGUCCAUUUAAAAAAAAAAAAUCAUGGCUUUAGUUAUGUUAGCUGCAUUGUUGCUAACACAACAGACCAAUUUUCCAUCUACUUGCCAUUCUCUGGCCACUUUCAACAGUUCCCCAGCCAAGUUCUCUGAGGUGUGUCUGUCGCUGAACUCAAAGCAGUCCAGAAGACAGCUAGACAUCUAAAAAUCUUCAAUGAAGUGACAUGCAACCGACAUGUAAGAAGUGGUUACUCUUGAUGUCCAGCAGUCAGUGGUAAGGCAAACUGCAGUAGCUUUUUGGACUCUUUCCCGCACUGAAGCCUGUGUGCUCUCGUACAGUUGUGGAAUAAGUGAUUUUGAAAGGGUUUUCCUGCUUGGAAUUGUGUACAUUGGAUUUAGACUUUUGCUAUAAUUUCUAAAACCUCUGUCCUCCACGAUUGAAAAUGGCUGGAAAUCGGUGGCAAUAGUUUUAGCCAAUGGAAUAUCAAUUUGGCCUUGUUUUGCUACAGACAUAGACUUUGGCAUAAACUGGUCCAUAGAAGACUGCGUAGUAGGCCUACUUGACUGAGUGGAUACAUCUCCACAUGUGGAGGUGCUGGCUCCACCACUAUCACUAACAGGCCCGCUAGUUUCUCGAAGCUCCACUACAGCUAGCUUCACAGUUGGGCGCACAGUUCACAUAUGCCGGUGUAGGUUGUGCGUAGAGCCGGCUUUAUAUGAGAUUUUGUUUUGGCAAAUUCUACACUACACUGCUCUAACAUUGUCUACAUUAUUAAAAUGCAUCCAAAUGCUCCCGUGCUUCCGACUCAUUUUCCAGCUGUUGUUUUCACAGCUGUCCUUCCUCUCUCUCCUCAGCUGCUAAGUGUGUGACUGUGAGUGAGUUGGCUCAGCCCUCCCUCACGCAUCUUUGGUUCAUUGGUUGACACUGCAUGUCUGAUUGACAGGAACAACAGAUUCGACUCUUCUGAUAUGCGAGCCGGCUCCCAACGUUCACCUACAAGAGCUCUUAGAGCCGACUCCAUCGCGAACGACCCAAAGCAGUCUGGGCUGGUUGAAGCACAGUGUGAAGGAUUAUUUUGAAAGUGUUUCAAUCUGCCGUGAAUCAUCAUAAUCCAUACACUGCAUGAACCUGCUCUCUGCCACCAGUAAAAGGAGAUGAUUGAGGGUGAACAUGCAACACAUCAGCUUGAAUUGUCUGGAGUCUGGUGUUGUGGCCAAGGAGCUUUCACUCAGAUGGAACCAGGUUCCAGCUGCUGUGCAAUGUUGAUGUCCUUCCUCCCAGACAUGUGAAUGCAUCCCCCGGACUGGACACAACCCGGCAAACAUAUUUUUUUGAGGAGAUCAGGAUGUUUGCAAUGAAAAGGCCAUGGACACUAUGUCCUGCUCCAAAGGGCAGGAUAGAAAUAUGCUCUCAGGCUAGAUUCCUUUGUUCAUAUCAUAACCUGAACCAAAGUUAUUCUAAUGAUCUUGUGAUAUAGGCCUAGGUCAAUAUAUUGUUUUUACCUCAGCCUUUGUGUUUGGGUGUUUUUAAGUUUUUCGUACUUGUAGGCUACUACCUUUAGCACUGGAAGUUAAUAAAGUAUUGUUGAAAUAUUGUCUUAGUUUUUUAAACACUACCUCACUGCUUUAGCACAUUGCCAUGGUCACGUGUUCCAAUGUGAAUUUUUUAAGAGAUGGGUAGGUCUAAGCCUUUAGAGUGUGUGAACGAUGCUAAAUGGGCGUAAACAAAGAACAGCACUGUAGCUGUUCAAUGUGAAAGGUUAUUUUUAUUAUACAGCAAUAGGCAAUAUAAUACUGUACAUGGUUUGCCUAAUGGGGUAACUUGGUAUUAGUAUUCCUAUAGAAAAGUAUUCCUUUUCUAAAUAUAUGUUUCCAAAGUAUUAAUGUAGAGGAUGUGUGAAAAUCACAGCAAAAUGUUUGAAUGCCCUUUUCUCCUAAAUGGGAUUAUAAAUUUAUCAACAUUUAAAGCAGCAUUACUUACCCAUGUUUCCUCCAACUGCAGUGUAUGAUAUACCGUUUUGAAGCAUCUGUACUUUUAUCCAAUGUAAAAAGAGAAAACAAUUGUUAAAUGUUGUACAUAAGACUGAAAAGAGAUGGUGGGUCACACAUGACUAACAUGUAAAUGUAAUGUUAUUAUGAGUUUUGGAGUAUGAGAGUAGAAGAAUGCAGCUGUGUGAAGCAAUUGUACGUUCUCAGAAAAUCCCAACAAUUCACAAAGCAAAUACAUAAAAUUCCCAACAAACGACUGUCGUUAAAGGCAUCAUUCAGUUUGUUGAAUCAGCGUGUCUCCCUUUAAUUCUGUUAUAUUGAGGGACAUUUAGAGUGGUGUUGAAGUGCUAUAAAUUGAGGCAUAGAUUUUCCUGUCUCUGAGCUGGGAACAAGAUAAUUCGAAGCGUUUUCUAAACGGCCCAGGUCAGACGUUGCCGUUUAUACACUGAAAAAGUCAACUUUGACCAGUUUCAAGUCUUUCACAGUCAAAGCCAUUCACUGUAAAUGUUUACAGCGGAACAUAUGUGUAUGGAGAAGCCACCUACCAGCCUGCCAAGAAUUCUCUAAAUGAAUAUGCAUUUAAUGAAUAUACUUUACAUAUAAAACUGCUACUAAUCCCAAUUAUCCCAUGCAUAUUGUAAAGCGGCUUGUCUUUGAGCCAAAAUGAAGGGUUCCAGGCCAAUCAACGUGUGUUAACCCCUUUAGGGAGGGAACCACUGUGUUUGGGAGGCUAAGAGAUACAGCAGGCACACACACACACUGGAUACCUCAACAAUGGACACAAACACUGGAUACCCCAACAAUGGACACAAACACUGGAUACCUCAAUAGACACAAACAUUUGAUACCUCAACAACACACAAACACUCACACAUAAACACCGGACACCUCUACAACAGACGCAAACACUGGAUACCUCAACAACAUGAACACUGGAUACCUCAACAACACAGACACUGCAUACCUCAACAACACACAAACACUGGAUACUUCAACAACAUGAACACUGGAUACCUCAACAACACAAACACAGACACUGCAUACCUCAACAACACACAAACACUGGAUACCUCAACAACAUGAACACUGGAUACCUCAACAACACAAACACAGACACUGCAUACCUCAACAACACACAAACACUGGAUACCUCAACAACAUGAACACUGGAUACCUCAACAACACAAACACAGACACUGCAUACCUCAACAACACACAAACACUGGAUACCUCAACAACAUGAACACUGGAUACCUCAACAACACAAACACAGACACUGCAUACCUCAACAACACACAAACACUGGAUACCUCAACAACACAAACAUUGGAUACCUCAACAACAGACACACACACUGGAUACCUCAACAACAUGAACACUGGAUACCUCAACAACACAAACACAGACACUGGAUACCUCAACAACACACAAACACUGGAUACUUCAACAACAUGAACACUGGAUACCUCAACAACACACAAACAUUGGAUACCUCAACAACACACAUAAACACUGGAUACCUCAACAACACACAAACAUUGGAUACCUCAACAACACACAUAAACAUUGGAUACCUCAACAACACACAAACAUUGGAUACCUCAACAACAGACACACACACUGGAUACCUCAACAACAUGAACACAGA